UGCACAUGUAGUUUCCCUAAAUAGGUGUAAUACCACUAUUGAUUUUUCCCUAUUAGUCUUUGUUACAUUGGAACUUUUAAAAAAAAUUGUACAGUAUUUACCUUUAUUUCAACCAAAGAAAUACUUUGCAUGUAUAAAGUUUAAUCCUUUCCAGUGCUACAGUGAAAAUUUCACACUACAUUUCAUUGCAUAUAAGAAAGUUACCAUCACCGGAAGUAAUCAACCCAAUUUUAACACUGUUAUUUACUGGUUACCUGCUUUGGUAACUAUGUAACUUUAACUUUCCAAAAUAUUUUAUAAGACCAUCAAAUCAAAAAGGAAUGAUGCUUUCAGAC
rnacentral:lncRNA from 1 species